UGGGGGAUAUUGCACAAUGGGCGAAAGCCUGAUGCAGCGACGCCGCGUGGGGGAUGAAGGCCUUCGGGUUGUAAACUUCUUUUGCUCUGAACAAGGCGCACCAUGGGGUGUGUUGAGUGUAGGGGUUGAUUAGCGCCGGCUAACUACGUGCUAGCAGCCGCGGUAAUACGUAGGGCGCGAGCGUUGUCCGGAAUUAUUGGGCGUAAAGGGCUUGUAGGUGGCUGGUUGCGUCUGUCGUGAAAGCUCAUGGCUUAACUGUGGGUUUGCGGUGGGUACGGGCUGGCUUGAGUGCAGUAGGGGAGGCUGGAAUUCCUGGUGUAGCGGUGGAAUGCGCAGAUAUCAGGAGGAAUACCGGUGGCGAAGGCGGGUCUCUGGGCUGUUACUGACACUGAGGAGCGAAAGCAUGGGGAGCGAACAGG
rnacentral:rRNA from 1 species